UUCAGAUGCAGCCAUUCCCUCUACCUCAAGAAGUGAACCAUGAUGUGAAUUUUUUUUUGAAUGGGGGCAGCUUCCUGCAGCCAGCUGGGAUUGCAUCAGGAGUUAAGUGCUGCUGGAACAACUUGUAAAGAAUAGGAGUGCUUGAUGACAUUUACCAGGCCUUGCUACUGUGAAGACUGAUCACAGUCAUGCCAUUAAAAUGAAUAAUACCAUUUAAAUCAGAGGAAAGAAUCAGUGAUGUCAGCGGCAAGCUGUCUCCUGCAGAUGUAAUGGUUUUGACUUGCUUUUGGCUAAAGUGUUCUUGAUGAUCUUCUCAGAGAGUUGUAGACAUGCACUCACUUUAACAAAGAGAAGUCCUGAUAAUUUUUUAUGUAGGUAAGAUGUUGAUCCAUACUGGGCCGGUGGAAACCCUUCCAUGGCCCCAAUGGGGUGUAAAAUGUGUUGUUUUCCUUCAAAGUAUUUUUGUACACACAGAUUUUUGACCAGAAUAUCUGACUGACUCUACGACAGAAUAAAACUGCAUCAAAACAUUCUGAAUUAUUUUAGUAGUAUACAGCCUUUAACAUAAAUGAUGGCAUUUUAACUUUCAUAGUAAUAACUUUCAAUAGAUCAUUAUUUCAUAUUUAUUUUAUAUAUUUUUAAUUAUUUCUGGCACCAUGCCAACUUGCUCUUAUUAGCUUAAAAAAAAAAAAGACUGAUCCUUAUCCCUUUCAAUACAACUUGCUAAGUAUUCUAUCAUGUUCCAGAUUUUAGAACUUAAAACAUACUGGUACUUUUUUAAGUUUGUCACUCUGCUCUUUAUGGCUGUUUGUGUGUACAAAAAAUUAGAAUCACUUGGUGGAAACACAUAACUGGUGCCUAUAUACAAUGUGGUAAGAUUUUAACACUGGAAGUUAUGCCCCAAUAAUUAAUAAUAAUUAAUAUGUUAGUAAAUGUAACCAUGUAAAUGUAGUAAAUGUAUGUUAAUAAAUUAAUAAU
rnacentral:lncRNA from 7 species